rnacentral:ncRNA from 2 species
GGUCAUGAGUCCCAGUAACAAGCCCCGGCUUACUGGGCGGCAACCCUCCAACCGCGGUGGGGUGCCCCGGGUGAAGACCUGGCCCUUGAGCCGCUCGGCGUCAAGGACAAGCGCGGGUU